AAUGGCUGCAGUAAAAUAACUGUACAAAGGUAGCAUAAUCAUUAGUUUUUUAAUUAAAAGCUUGUAUGAAAGGUUGGACGAAGUAAAAUCUGUCUCUUUUUAAUAUAAUUAGAAUUUAAUUUUUAAGUAAAAAAGCUUAAAUUUAUAUAAAAGACGAGAAGACCCUAUAGAGUUUAAUAAUUUAUUUUAAAUAAUUAAUUUAGAUUUAUUAAUUUUAUUUAUUGUAUAAUUAUUUUAUUGGGGUAAUAAAGAGAUUAAUAUAAUUCUUUUUUUUAUUUUACAUUAAUAUAUGAAUUAGAUGAUCCAUUUUUAUGAUUAAAAGAUUAAAUUACCUUAGGGAUAACAGCGUAAUUUUUUUAAAGAGUUCAUAUCGAUAAAAAAGUUUGCGACCUCGAUGUUGGAUUAAAGAUUAAUUUAGGUGUAGAAGUUUAAAUUUUUGGUCUGUUCGACCAUUAAAUCUUUACAUGAUCUGAGUUCAAACCGGUGUAAGCCAGGUUGGUUUCUAUCUUUAUAAAAUUUUUAUAUUUUAGUACGAAAGGACCAAAUAUUUAAUAUAUAAAUAUUUAAUUAUUUUGAAUAU
rnacentral:rRNA from 2 species